rnacentral:lncRNA from 1 species
GCAGGGCCGAUGUGCUUGUCCUCUCCUCGCGCUGUGGCAUGUUGCUUUGGGAGCAGUGAGCCGAGCGGCUGCGCUUGCGCUGGUAGCUGCGGGCGGUGGAGGUAAUUGAAGGUGUGCUCUGCUUCUCUCCCCUUUCUCUCUCCCACCAGCCCAAGGUAGUGGUGACUCUCAAUGUGACCUCCCCAGACCUCUUCCGCCUCGUCUUCCGCUACGUCAGCCGGGGGCCCGCCAGUGUGGAAGGGAGGGUCUCGGUCGUUGAGGAAGGAAAGUUUAAUGUUUGUGGCAACUGUACAGAGCAGACCAAGCAGAUUGUCUUUGCUCCCAGCACGGAGCCAGCCUUUGUCACAGUCCCACAGAACAGCUUUGGGGAGCCCUUCGUACUCAACCCCAACACGUGGUCUCUGGUUGUUGAAGCAGAGGGUGUGCUGCUGGUAAGGACCAGCCCCUUUGCUCCAUCCACCACAGGGGCUUCAGCAGCUCCUUGGGGGGGAACAGUGUCCCAAACACAUCCAACUCUCCCAUCUCUCCUCCUAGGACUAUCUGGUUUUGCUACCCAGCUCAUACUAUGAAGCACCAAUACUGCAGCUGAAGGUCACGGAGCCAUGUACCUACCAGCCAGCCCCUGAACAAGCCACCCAGAACUGCCUCCUGUACAAGUUCCUGUCUGUGGAUGGCUUCCCUGCAGUGUCUGGGCUGGAUGCAGUGUGCAGGCUGGACAACCGGUUACCCAGGCUGUGUCCCACAGAGCAGCUCACACCCUCCCAUCCCCGGAUGGCCAUGUGCAGCGGCAGUGAUGUGAGUGGCACUUGUUUCAUCCCUUGCAUGGGCACUGCAGCACUCAUCCCCCUGCUCCAACAUCUGGUUACCAGAAGGGCCUUGCACCUAUGUACCCCCAACUGUGGCCCCAUCAGUUUUGCAUGCCCUGUUCAAGGCACCCCAAAGCAGUGUCUCACAUACAAAGGGCUUGCAAUGCCAUGCCCAUUGUUGUCCCAUUGUGCCCUCAGCUGCAGAGGAGGUUGGUUUGUAGCACGGGCAUCCUUCACUCAUUCACUAUGAGGAGUGGGACAGUAGGCACAAAGUCAUCUCUCUGUCCUCCAGGUGGAAGUCCAGCUGUCCCUGCCUGUUGCCCAGCCUGGGAAAUACGUGCUGGUGGUGGAGUACGCCAACACCAAUGCUUUGCAGACGGUGGGCAUUGCGGUGAGCUCACCGCACUUAGCCAUGCAGCAAGGCACAUUCAUCUUCUACCCAUGUGUCUACAGCACAAGGUGUACCUCAUACCUGCUGCGCAGUUCACCAUGGAGUUCAUCGAGCCGAAGGUGCAUUGCAUCAGUGUCCAUGGCACGUUCUCACCCAACAGGUAAGAGUCUCAGGUCCCUCAGGGUUUUAGCUUGGCUGUUUCCAAAAGCAAGUGUUUCCCCUGCUUCCCUCAGGUUUGGAGCCAUU